CGUAUGUAUAACACUAACCAUAUUUACCUCUAUAGAGGUAAGGUUAUACAUAUAUAUAACACUAGCCAUAUUUACAUCUAUACAGGUAAGGUAAGUUUAUACAUAUAUAUAACACAAGCCAUAUUCUAUACAGGUAUUAACCAUCAGCCAUAUUUACCUCUAUACAGGUAUUAACCAUUAGCCAUAUUUACCUCCAUACAGGUAUUAACCAUCAGCCAUAUUUACCUCUAUACAGGUAAGGUUAUACGGAUAAUAAGUAUCAGCCAUGGUAUCAUUUGUACGAUAUUACAUGACAUAACCCAUUUUAUUGAAAACUAAAUAAACAAAAAACAAAUUUAAAGUUACUGAAGUCGAGGAUAUUUGUUACAGUCAGGCAAUUUUAACAGAUAUUCAAAUAUGUAUGUGUAUAACAAUGAAAUUACCAAAAAUUAACAUGAUCAUAUAAUUUAGUGAAUGUGGAAAUGUUUCUUCACAAUAUUAGUAAAUUAUAACGAAUUGAGUGAUUAUUGUCUUAAGUUUGUUACUUCCCUUACUAUAGGUGCAAGAUGGUAAAAUUAUACAUAUGCCUGACUUUUAAUCUAGUUGAAUGUUAUAGACAUUACUUUAGGUCAUCCACAUCAUCCAUUUCUGUCAUCCUAGCACAUUAUUGUUUGUUUC